rnacentral:pre_miRNA from 1 species
AUUAUACUCCCUCCGUCCCAAAAUUCUUGUCUUAGAUUUGUCUAUAUAUGAAUGUAUCUAGUCACAUUUUAGUAUGUAGAUACAUACAUUUCUAGACAAACUUAAGACAAUAAUUUUGGGACGGAGGGAGUAUUUA